AUUGAACGCUGGUGGCAGGCCUAACACAUGCAAGUCGAACGGUAACAGGAAGAAGCUUGCUUCUUUGCUGACGAGUGGCGGACGGGUGAGUAAUGUCUGGGAAACUGCCUGAUGGAGGGGGAUAACUACUGGAAACGGUAGCUAAUACCGCAUAACGUCGCAAGACCAAAGAGGGGGACCUUCGGGCCUCUUGCCAUCGGAUGUGCCCAGAUGGGAUUAGCUAGUAGGUGGGGUAACGGCUCACCUAGGCGACGAUCCCUAGCUGGUCUGAGAGGAUGACCAGCCACACUGGAACUGAGACACGGUCCAGACUCCUACGGGAGGCAGCAGUGGGGAAUAUUGCACAAUGGGCGCAAGCCUGAUGCAGCCAUGCCGCGUGUAUGAAGAAGGCCUUCGGGUUGUAAAGUACUUUCAGCGGGGAGGAAGGGAGUAAAGUUAAUACCUUUGCUCAUUGACGUUACCCGCAGAAGAAGCACCGGCUAACUCCG
rnacentral:rRNA from 1 species